rnacentral:lncRNA from 1 species
CUUCUAGCGAGAAAGGAGAGACUAAAUGGACAAGGGAUUUACAGAUAUAAAGGAAAUUCCUGGUGCUCUACAAAGACUCAGCACAAUUUUAAAUGUGAACUUCACGGAAAAGAAAAAUGGUUUGCGUCAUCUUUGUCUAAAAAAGAGAAGACAAUAGGUCUGCACCUUGAAAGAAAACCUUUAGAUGGUCA